UGCAAAGCUGAAACUUAAAGGAAUUGACGGAAGGGCACCACCAGGAGUGGAGCCUGCGGCUUAAUUUGACUCAACACGGGAAAACUUACCCGGCCCGGACACCGGAAGGAUUGACAGAUUGAGAGCUCUUUCUUGAUUCGGUGGGUGGUGGUGCAUGGCCGUUCUUAGUUGGUGGAGCGAUUUGUCUGGUUAAUUCCGAUAACGAACGAGACUCUAGCCUACUAAAUAGGCGACCGAUUCCAUCGGUCGGUCGCUCUUCUUAGAGGGACAAGCGGCUUUUAGCCGCACGAGACAGAGCAAUAACAGGUCUGUGAUGCCCUUCGAUGCCCGGGGCCGCACGCGCGCUACACUGAAGGAAUCAGCGUGCAUUUAUCCCUGUCCGGUAGGACUGGGUAACCCGAUGAGUCUCCUUCGUGAUAGGGAUAGGGGCUUGUAAUUGUUCCCCUUGAACGAGGAAUUCCCAGUAAGCGCGAGUCAUAAGCUCGUGUUGAUUACGUCCCUGCCCUUUGUACACACCGCCCGUCGCUACUACCGAUUGAAUGAUUUAGUGAGGUCUUCGGACUGUUGCCCGGCCGAUGUCAUGUUGCACCGGUGUGAUGGAAAGAUGAUCAAACUUGAUCAUUUAGAGGAAGUAAAAGUCGUAACAAGGUUUCC
rnacentral:rRNA from 1 species